UAUACUAUCAACAACUCUCCAUUUCGUCAUACUAAGUAAGUUUUAAUGCUUUCAGUUAUUUUGAGUAAUUAUCAACAGUGUCCACGUACAGGCCUUUAAAGUAUCUACAAGGAUCGCUGGGAGUAUAGACGCGCGCAAGUAGUUAUCUUUUAAUAAAUUCGUGUAUCUACCUGUCAUAGUUUGUUAUUAGAGAACUGUCUUUCUAUCUACUCUACUACCGCGGAGUCGACUUAUAGGUUUUCGGGAGACUUAUCAGUUCUGAAAAGAAUUGUCCUGCUUUUUAACGACGACUACCCAGGCGAAAGGUACAGAAAAUUUGCUGGGACUACCACUUCAGCUAAUCGUAAUUAACUGCAAAUAGGAUUGUAGUUAUCUUUGUAUGUCUCGCAAGAUUCCAUCUCGGUUGGUGCAUGAACACACUGCGUUUAUUGUUGGACUGUUCACGGUAGUUAUCUAUGCAAGCAACUCUUUUGAUGCAACAAUAGACCAGACACCGCAGCGAGGACCAUGCUUUUCAAUAACAAAACAGUUGCUUUCAGAAAUGGCACCCAGCCGUAUUUCACGGUUCACCAGUAUCGAAUCCCUUUUCGAAUCAACGGCUGCGGCUCCAGUUUCGGCUCAGGCUACUAGCUUGGCCCCGCGGUUAUUUUAACAGUUUCGCAUGUUUUGCGUACGUACGCGUUCAGGGCUUCAGACGAGAGGAUGGAGGCUGAACCCGAAGCCGUGGUUUCGAAAAGGGUCAUAGCUCCAGUUCUAAAUCUUGUGCUGUAUUAUACUCUGGUUUUGUCAAUUGAAUGCUACAUCUUCAUAAUGCCAAAAUGUAACGUAAAGAAGUCGAUGUCGAGUUACUCCCACCAAAAUCUUCAACACAGCUGCAGAUGUAUUGUGUUGGAUCACGUGUAGAUACCAAGCACCGUCCGCCAUUGCUACACGGUGAGAUAUCACAAGGCGAGGAGGUUUCAGGUUCGACUGCAGCAAGUGCGUUUGACGUAUCAGAAGGUUGUCCACAUAAAGUGUGGGGACUGGUUUUCGAGUUAUGGUCUGCGCAUGCUGCAAAAUUGUGGGUGAGACACCAAUGAGCAAACAUGC